rnacentral:rRNA from 1 species
UCCUACGGGGGGCAGCAGUGGGGGAUAUUGCACAAUGGGGGAAACCCUGAUGCAGCGACGCCGCGUGAGUGAAGAAGUAUUUCGGUAUGUAAAGCUCUAUCGGCAGGGAAGAAAAAAAUGACAGUACCUGACUAAGAAGCCCCGGCUAACUACGUGCCAGCAGCCGCGGUAAUACGUAGGGGGCAAGCGUUAUCCGGAAUCACUGGGGGUAAAGGGAGCGUAGACGGCUGAGCAAGCCUGAAGUGAAAGGCGGGGGCCCAACCCCCGGACUGCUUUGGGA